rnacentral:rRNA from 1 species
UACAGAGGGUGCAAGCGUUGUCCGGAUUUAUUGGGCGUAAAGCGCGUGUAGGCGGCUUUGCAAGUCGGGUGUGAAAGCCCUCGGCUCAACCGAGGAAGUGCGCCCGAAACUGCAGAGCUUGAGUACCGGAGAGGAUGGCGGAAUUCCGAGUGUAGAGGUGAAAUGCGUAGAUAUGCGGAGGAACACCGAUGGCGAAGGCAAUCCCCUGGGCCUGCACUGACGCUCAUGCACGAAAGCGUGGGGAGCAAACAGG